AGAGUUUGAUCCUGGCUCAGAUUGAACGCUGGCGGAAUGCUUUACACAUGCAAGUCGAACGGCAGCACGGGGGCAACCCUGGUGGCGAGUGGCGAACGGGUGAGUAAUGUAUCGGAACGUACCCAGUCGUGGGGGAUAACUAUCCGAAAGGAUAGCUAAUACCGCAUACGUCCUGAGGGAGAAAGCGGGGGAUCGCAAGACCUCGCGCGAUUGGAGCGGCCGAUAUCGGAUUAGCUAGUUGGUGAGGUAAAGGCUCACCAAGGCGACGAUCCGUAGCGGGUCUGAGAGGACGACCCGCCACACUGGAACUGAGACACGGUCCAGACUCCUACGGGAGGCAGCAGUGGGGAAUUUUGGACAAUGGGCGCAAGCCUGAUCCAGCCAUUCCGCGUGAGUGAAGAAGGCCUUCGGGUUGUAAAGCUCUUUCAGCGGGGACGAAACGGUCAGCUCU
rnacentral:rRNA from 1 species